rnacentral:rRNA from 1 species
AAGCUCGUAGUUGAAUUUCGGGGUUAGUAGGUUGGUCAUGCCUCUGGUAUGUACUGGUCUCACUGAUUCCUCCUUCCUUAUGAACCGUAAUGCCAUUAAUUUGGUGUUGCGGGGAAUUUGGACUGUUACUUUGAAAAAAUUAGAGUGUUUAAAGCAAGCUAACGCUUGAAUACAUUAGCAUGGAAUAAUGAAAUAGGACGUUCGAUCUUAUUUUGUUGGUUUCCUAGGAUUGACGUAAUGAUUAAUAGGGAUAGUUGGG